GCCCGCCUAGCUCAAUCGGAUAGAGCGUCAGACUUUUACGAUAUAGGCGUGUGUCAUCUGAAGGCUGCGAGUUCGACCCUCGCGGUGGGCU